rnacentral:rRNA from 1 species
GACGUAGGGCGCAAGCGUUGUCCGGAUUUAUUGGGCGUAAAGAGCUCGUAGGCGGCUUGUCGCGUCGACCGUGAAAACCCGCAGCUCAACUGCGGGCUUGCGGUCGAUACGGGCAGGCUCGAGUUCGGUAGGGGAGACUGGAAUUCCUGGUGUAGCGGUGAAAUGCGCAGAUAUCAGGAGGAACACCCGUGGCUAGGGCGGCUCUCUAGUACGGUACUGACGCUGAGACGCGAAAGCGUGGGGAGCGAACAGG